GUGCUUGGGCGAGAGUAGUACUAGGAUGGGUGACCCCCUGGGAAGUCCUCGUGUUGCACCCCCCCUUCUUUUUGCGUCUAUUUUGCCAUUUUAGGGGAAUAUUGUGAAAGGAAAUGCGCGUACGAGUGAACAUGGCUCAGUCAAGACGCACGCUCGAAGUAAAACUCACAACGCGCGACACCGACACGCGGAAAUAUAGGCACAAAAUCAGAUAAUCCUAACGAUUGGGAAUAUAGUAGUAAAAACGGAUAGGGAAAA
rnacentral:rRNA from 1 species